AUUGAACGCUGGCGGCAUGCCUUACACAUGCAAGUCGAACGGUAACGGGUCCUUCGGGAUGCCGACGAGUGGCGAACGGGUGAGUAAUAUAUCGGAACGUGCCCAGUAGUGGGGGAUAACUGCUCGAAAGAGCAGCUAAUACCGCAUACGACCUGAGGGUGAAAGGGGGGGAUCGCAAGACCUUGCGCUGAUUGAGCGGCCGAUAUCAGAUUAGCUAGUUGGUGAGGUAAAGGCUCACCAAGGCGACGAUCUGUAGCGGGUCUGAGAGGAUGAUCCGCCACACUGGAACUGAGACACGGUCCAGACUCCUACGGGAGGCAGCAGUGGGGAAUUUUGGACAAUGGGCGCAAGCCUGAUCCAGCCAUGCCGCGUGAGUGAAGAAGGCCUCGG
rnacentral:rRNA from 1 species